AGGCACCAUUUUUUUGGCUCCUCGGAGUUUGAACUCGCUGGUUCGGUUGGGGUUGAUUGCUUCGGAGCAGAGUCUCGAUCCCAGUGGUUCCAGCCUUUCUCUCGCGCGAUAGCCGCCGACUUUGGAGAUUCCUCAUCAUCGACUGAGCUAACGUAGCCUCGCUUCUGAGUGGUAUUUCCACCUUAGGAGUGCUGGCGAGGCUCGGGGCGGGGGUCGUUUGUUCGGGAGGAUCGCUGUCUCGCCGCU
rnacentral:lncRNA from 1 species